rnacentral:piRNA from 1 species
UCUAAUGCUUCUCUCUCCCUACCCUC